rnacentral:rRNA from 1 species
CGAAAGCCUGACGGAGCAAUACCGCGUGAGGGAAGAAGGCUUUUGGGUUGUAAACCUCUUUUGUCAGGGAAGAAGAAUUGACGGUACCUGAAGAAAAAGCAUCGGCUAACUCCGUGCCAGCAGCCGCGGUAAUACGGAGGAUGCAAGCGUUAUCCGGAAUCAUUGGGCGUAAAGGGUCCGCAGGUGGCGAAUAAAGUCUGCUGUUAAAGACCGGGGCUUAACUCCGGAAAGGCAGUGGAAACUGAUUAGCUAGAGUAAGGUAGGGGUAGAGGGAAUUCCCAGUGUAGCGGUGAAAUGCGUAGAUAUUGGGAAGAACACCGGUGGCGAAAGCGCUCUACUAGGCCGAAACUGACACUGAGGGACGAAAGCUAGGGUAGCGAAAGGGAUUAGAUACCCCUGUAGUCUUAGCGGUAAACGAUGGAUACUAGGAGUAGCUUGUAUCGACCCGAGCUGUGCCGAAGCUAACGCGAUAAGUAUCCCGCCUGGGGAGUACGCACGCAAGUGUGAAACUCAAAGGAAUUGACGGGGGCCCGCACAAGCGGUGGAGUAUGUGGUUUAAUUCGAUGCAACGCGAAGAACCUUACCAGGGCUUGACAUGUCGCGAAUCUAGCGGAAACGUUAGAGUGCCUUAGGGAAUGCGAACACAGGUGGUGCAUGGCUGUCGUCAGCUCGUGUCGUGAGAUGUUGGGUUAAGUCCCGCAACGAGCGCAACCCUCGUCCUUAGUUGCCAAUAUUAAGUUAGGCACUCUAGGGAGACUGCCGGGGACAACUCGGAGGAAGGUGGGGAUGACGUCAAGUCAGCAUGCCCCUUACGUCCUGGGCUACACACGUACUACAAUGGUUGGGACAAAGGGCAGCAAGCUCGCGAGAGUAAGCGAAUCUCAUCAAACCCAGCCACAGUUCAGAUUGCAGGCUGCAACUCGCCUGCAUGAAGUAGGAAUCGCUAGUAAUCGCAGGUCAGCAUACUGCGGUGAAUUCGUUCCCGGGCCUUGUACACACCGCCCGUUACACCAUGGAAGCUGGCUACGCCCGAAGUCGUCACCCUAACCCGGUUUUGGGAGGGGGAUGCCGAAGGUAGAGCUAGUGACUGGGGUGAAGUCGUAACAAGGUAGCCGUACCGGAAGGUGUGGCUGGAUCACCUCCUUU